AUUGAACGCUGGCGGCAUGCUUUACACAUGCAAGUCGAACGAGUGUCGCACGGUUGAGUAAUACAUCGGAACGUUUCCUAUCGUGGGGGAUAACUGAUCGAAUUAUCAGCUAAUACCGCAUACUAUUGGAGCGGCCGAUGCCCGAUUAGCUAGUUGGUGAGGUAAAGGCUUACCAAGGCGACGAUCGGGAGCUGGUCUGAGAGGACGACCAGGCGAACUGCGACGUAGAGACGGCGCAGACUCCGACGGGAGGCAGCAGUGGGGAAGUUUGGAAAAUUGGGGAAACCCGGAUCCAGCCAUGCCGCGUGCAGGAUGAGGGUAUGCGGAUUGUAAACUGGUUUUGUCAGGGAAGCGGUACCUGAAGAAUAAGCACCGGCUAACUACGUGCCAGCAGCCGCGGUAAUUC
rnacentral:rRNA from 1 species